rnacentral:rRNA from 1 species
GCGGCGUGCUUAACACAUGCAAGUCGAGUGCGCGUGCCGUAGCAAUACGGUAUGGCGCACGGCGCACGGGUGCGUAACACGUGGGCAAUCUGCCCUCCGGUGGGGAAUAACCUCGCGAAAGCGGGGCUAAUUCCGCAUAACAUUCCCUGGACUUCGGUUCGGGGAUUCAAAGCAGCAAUGCGCCGGAGGAGGAGCCCGCGCCCGAUUAGCUAGUUGGUGAGGUAACGGCUCACCAAGGCAAUGAUCGGUAGCUGGUCUGAGAGGAUGGCCAGCCACACUGGAACUGAGACACGGUCCAGACUCCUACGGGAGGCAGCAGUGGAGAAUCUUGCGCAAUGGGCGAAAGCCUGACGCAGCGACGCCGCGUGGGGGAUGAAGCUUCUCGGAGUGUAAACCCCUUUCGACCGGGACGAAUGCCCGCAAGGGAGUGACGGUACCGGUAGAAGAAGCCCCGGCUAACUACGUGCCAGCAGCCGCGGUAAGACGUAGGGGGCCAGCGUUGUUCGGAAUUACUGGGUGUAAAGGGUUCGUANGCGGUGUGGCAAGUCGGGAGUGAAAUUUCUGGGCU